rnacentral:lncRNA from 1 species
GUUGGAAGAUGAUCAAUUCAUGUUGAUAAGAAAAUCCUACUCAAUCCCAACACUAGAAGCUGAUCAUCAGUUAGACCAAAGAACAAAAUGCAAAAAAGAUCCUUCUAGAUUCAUCCUAACAAAGAAAGUCAUUAUAUACAUGAAAUUAUAGGAACAAACAGAGCUUUGAAAACUCAAAUGAUGGAUAAAAUGGAAAAGUGCAAUGGUCGAAGCUCACUCAUUUAAAG